rnacentral:rRNA from 1 species
UACGUAGGGGGCUAGCGUUGUCCGGAUUUAUUGGGCGUAAAGAGCGUGUAGGCGGCCAGGUAGGUCCGGUGUGAAAACUCGAGGCUCAACCUCGAGAUGUCAUCGGAAACCAUCUGGCUAGAGUCCGGAAGAGGAGAGUGGAAUUCCUGGUGUAGCGGUGAAAUGCGCAGAUAUCAGGAAGAACACCAAUGGCGAAGGCAGCUCUCUGGGGCGGUACUGACGCUGAGACGCGAAAGCGUGGGGAGCGAACAGG